GGCUCUGUGGCACAAUGGGUUUGGGUGUCUGGUUAAUCAGAAGGCUGGUGGUUCGAGCCACCCAGGGACA